rnacentral:lncRNA from 1 species
UCCUAGGGGCUGGGAUUGUGGCUCAGCAGUACAGCGCUCCCCUCACACGUGCAAGAUCCUGGGUUCGAUCCUCAGCACCACAUUAAAAAUAAGUAAAUAAAUAAACAAAACAAAAAAGCAAUCCUACACUAGACAUUUUAUAAAGUAAAAUUAAAAAGAAAAUACUUUGAUGUAUUUUUUAAUUCGAAUGUGGCCCAAGGUGCUUUUCAUGAAAAAUUGGCUCAUGUAUAUAGAAAACUUCCUAUCACCAUGAAAAUUUCUUAACAAUUUAGCUACACACUAAGUUAGCUUCUUUUGCCUUUGCCAGGGAUAUUUAUGUCUUUGGUUUGGAAGCCAAAGUGCACAGGAUUCAAGGCAAAAAGGGUCUAAACGGUAUGUUUGUAUAUAAAGAGGAGCUGAAGGGAGAAAGAUUAUAUUUUCCUUUCCCCAAAGAUAGAUUGGUGAUUGACCAACCACACAGAAAGGAGGGAAGAAUCACAAAAUCCUA